rnacentral:rRNA from 1 species
UGGGGAAUAUUGCACAAUGGGGGAAACCCUGAUGCAGUGACGCCGCGUGAACGAAGAAGGUAUUCGUAUCGUAAAGUUCUGUCCUAUGGGAAGAUAAUGACAGUACCAUAGAAGAAAGCUCCGGCUAAAUACGUGCCAGCAGCCGCGGUAAUACGUAUGGAGCGAGCGUUGUCCGGAAUUAUUGGGCGUAAAGGGUACGCAGGCGGUUUAAUAAGUCGAAUGUUAAAGAUCGGGGCUCAACCCCGCAAAGCAUUGGAAACUGAUAAACUUGAGUAGUGGAGAGGAAAGUGGAAUUCCUAGUGUAGUGGUGAAAUACGUAGAUAUUAGGAGGAAUACCAGUAGCGAAGGCGACUUUCUGGACACAAACUGACGCUGAGGUACGAAAGCGUGGGGAGCAAACAGG